AUUGAACGCUGGCGGCAUGCUUUACACAUGCAAGUCGAACGGCAGCACAGGGAGCUUGCUCCCGGGUGGCGAGUGGCGCACGGGUGAGUAAUACAUCGGAACGUGUCCUGUUGUGGGGGAUAACUGCUCGAAAGGGUGGCUAAUACCGCAUGAGACCUGAGGGUGAAAGCGGGGGAUCGCAAGACCUCGCGCAAUUGGAGCGGCCGAUGCCCGAUUAGCUAGUUGGUGGGUAAAGGCUCACCAAGGCGACGAUCGGUAGCUGGUCUGAGAGGACGACCAGCCACACUGGGACUGAGACACGGCCCAGACUCCUACGGGAGGCAGCAGUGGGGAAUUUUGGACAAUGGGGGCAACCCUGAUCCAGCCAUGCCGCGUGCAGGAUGAAGGCCUCGGGUUGUAAAGGCUCUAUCAGCAGGGAAGAAGAAAUAGACGGUACCUGACUAAGAAGCACCGGCUAAAUACGUGCCAGCAGCCGCGGU
rnacentral:rRNA from 1 species